AUAUCAUCAUAACUCAGUUGGUAGAGCAUCAUACUGGUAACAUGGAGGUCAUGGGUUCAAAUCCCAUUUAAACCCUGAAUAUU